CGCAGCGCCAUACAAUGUGGCGCACAACGAGUUUCCUAGGCCGAUAGGAUUCUCCUAGUCUACAUCUCUCAGGAGAUCGAGGCAACAUUGUCCAACAGUCAGACGUUUCGAUCAUGUGUCGUUGCUGAGAGUUGUUGCUGUGUUGUUCUCAGCUAGGAGACACUGGGCAAUCUGAGAGAGCGCUACGUGACUGGGCUAGACUUUUGUAAUUGUUGGUCUUGAACGAGGAAUGCCUAGUAAUCGUAGGUCAUUAUCCUGCGAUGAUUAUGUCCCUGCCCUUUGUACACACCGCCCGUCGCUCCUGCCGUGGCUCGUGCCGGUGAAGAGGGGGAGGCAGCGUCAACGGAGUAACAUCUGAUUGUACGUGGAACCCCUCUGAACCUUCGCGAGUAGAGGAAGGAGAAGUCGUAACAAGGUUUUCGUAGGUGAACCUGCGARAGGAUCAUUA
rnacentral:rRNA from 1 species